GGCCGUGUGGCUCAAUGGCAGAGCGUCUGACUACGAUUGCCGUGUACGAUCUACGUGUGCGGGUCAUGUGUUAUCAGAAGGUCGCAGGUUCGACCCCUGUCUCGGUCA